rnacentral:tRNA from 1 species
GGAACCGUGCCUGAAUUCCUAAGGACCACUUUGAUAGAGUGGCUCAUGGGGGUUAAAGCCCCCCCAGUUCCU